AUUGAACGCUGGCGGCAGGCUUAACACAUGCAAGUCGAGCGGGGACUUCGGUCCUAGCGGCGAACGGGUGAGGAAUGCUUGGGAAUCUGCCCAGUAGCGGGGGAUAACGUUUCGAAAGGAACGCUAAUACCGCAUACGCCCUACGGGGGAAAGGGGGGGAUCUUCGGACCUCUCACUAUUGGAUGAGCGCAAGUCGGAUUAGCUAGUUGGUGGAGUAAAGGCCUACCAAGGCGACGAUCCGUAGCUGGUCUCAGAGGAUGAUCAGCCACACUGGAACUGAGACAGGGUCCAUACUCCUACGGGAGGCAGCAGUGGGGAAUAUUGGACAAUGGGCGAAAGCCUGAUCCAGCCAUGCCGCGUGUGUGAAGAAGGCCUUCGGUUGUAAAGCACUUUAAGCGAGGAGGAAUGGCUGAGGGUUAAUAACCUUCAGCAGUGACGUUACUCGCGGAAUAAGCACCGGCUAACUCUGUGCCAGCCGCCGCCGUAAUAC
rnacentral:rRNA from 1 species